CGGCGAGUGGCGAACGGGUGAGUAAUGCAUCGGAACGUGCCCAUCGAUGGGGGAUAACUGCGCGAAAGCGUUGCUAAUACCGCAUACGACCUACGGGUGAAAGCAGGGGACCGCAAGGCCUUGCGUCGAUGGAGCGGCCGAUGCCGGAUUAGCUAGUUGGUGAGGUAAAGGCUCACCAAGGCGACGAUCCGUAGCUGGUCUGAGAGGACGACCCAGCCACACUGGGACUGAGACACGGCCCAGACUCCUACGGGAGGCAGCAGUGGGGAAUCUUGGACAAUGGGCGAAAGCCUGAUCCAGCAAUGCCGCGUGUGGGAAGAAGGCCUUCGGGUUGUAAACCACUUUUGGCGGGAAAGAAAUGGUCUGUGCUAAUACCACGGAUUGAUGACGGUACCCGCAGAAUAAGCACCGGCUAACUACGUG
rnacentral:rRNA from 1 species